GAGAGGCGGUGGCGGGCGGCGGCUGCUGGCCUGCAGCCAGAGGAGGCCGGGAGUUGGCCGGGCCCGAGGCGGGUCUUGUCUCCGGUGGUGGAGCUGCCCCCGGGCCUGCGGUCUCGGGCCCGGCGCACACACCGUGUCCCCGGGGCGCGCGGGGAUGCUGUGUCCUCCGCGGAGCUCGGCCCAGGCGCGGCGGGCACCAGCCGGCCUGCGCCGCUCUCCCCGCCGCCACCAGCGGCUACCUGGCUCUUUCCUUGGCAAUCUCAAAGCAAAUGAUCGUAAAAGGAUAAGGUCUGGGCCAGAGAGAUGGGGCAAGGUGGGAAGCUGUGACUGCCUCGUUAGAACAGAGUGGUGUAGCCCACCUCGAAGCUUCCAACGUUUAACCGAGCUGAGACGAGCGCCUGGCAUGAGGCCCUCAAGUGGGAACAGGGAGCUCUCGAAAGAAUAUGGCCAAUUCCGAAUUUGUGAACAGCUAGGACUCCACUUAGCAAAUUGUUGGCAGUUCUGUAGAAACAAGGUUGUAAUUAGUUGAUUUGUUCAGGACUGUUCACAAAACCUAGGAAACUCAGAAUGUGCCCCUUCCAUUCAAGAAACUUGGAAUACUCAGUUCCAAAAUUUCUGAGGACAGGUGGAUAGAACUCAUCGAAUGAAUCACAUUCCUUGUUUUUGAGGGAUUCAACUUACGAAAUAAUUGGAUUAUUGCAAUGUAAAUUAAGGAUAAAAUACUAUGCCAAAAUCUCCUGGGGCAGAGAGGCAGCAGCAAGAAUGUACAUUUUAAACAAGGUUCGAGGUUAUUCUGCGGUUCACUGCAGUCUCCAAACCACUUGAGAAAGUAAAUGGACAAGAAGAGCAGAUGAGAACUCUAGUUCACAGAGUUGGCGUUUUCAUUGAACUGUACAAAUAAGUAACUAGGGGAAUAUAUAGAGUUACUCAAUUUUUUAUACUUUUAGUUGCCAAAUAAGAUCCUAAAACACCACAAACAUAGAAAUCUCUCAGUUGUCACCAUGAUUUCAUGAAAUAAAGUAGGAAGGAUAUAAUUUCAGAAUUUCAAAAAAUAUAAAUUUAGUUUUAUGAAAGACCAUAUCAUUCUUAGUUUCCUUAAACAGUGAAAACUUUGUUGCAGACAUGCGCAGACUGCUCUAUGGAUCAUUGAACAAAACAAUAUGUUUUUUCCCUAGUGUAUAUAGAGAAUGCAGGAGAUAAUGCUGGUGUGUAAGGAAAGAGGAUUAGUUCUUAAUUUUAGACGUUGAAUUUUAGGGACCUAUGAGAUAAGAAGACAGGCCAUGUAAGGUAAAAAAAAAAAAAAAAAAAAAAAAAACUACAUAACGCUUCAGUCACCUACACAUUUGUAAACCUACCAGUAUUCUCUUUUUGCAGCUUCCCAGAUUAAAUCUGUUCUGUUACCGUUGUAGAAUAUCUUCUAAAUUUUAGUAACUCACCACUGUAAUGAGCCAUUGUGGGUUUCCUAAAGAGCAUUGAUGCUGGUUCUGUGAGAAGGCGUCCAUGCCCUCCUCUUUACACGUGAGCGAACCCCGAAGUACUCUCUUUUGCCUUGAUAAAUUAAUGAAUUGAUAUAAAAUACUAUGAAAAGCAGGUAAAACUGACUAAGCAGAAGAGCCAGUAAAAUUGUCAGACCGUUAGUUAUAUUUUAACAGUAACUAAUCUGAGUAUACAUGUAUCCUUCCCAAAGACAGAAUUCGUUAAUACCACUCUGAGUCAGGUAUUACUAGAAAGGAAGGAAGACAGGAAAUGAAAAAUAAAACGUGGGGGGGAGUAGAAAAAAUUGAUCCAACAAAAAGCUGUCAAUAACAAUCAUGAAGGUUAUCUGUGCAUAGCAAUGAAUAUUCACCUCAUGGUUAAAGGAGAUUCCACCCAUCUUCCUGAGUAGGAGGCAGAGACAAUGGAUGUGAUUGCUAAUUGAAAGAUUUGGGACAAGUGAGUUACUGAAAUGGCUACUACCAAAAUUGUUGUUUGUCUUUAAUUUUACUUAGAAUAGUAUGUCAAGAAAUGUGUACCUGAAGAUGCACAUUGCAUCAUUUCUAAAUGUAGCAGUAGCACAAAACUUAGUAAAAAUGCUUGUGCCUGCUAUUAUUUGUUAGUAGUCUACUGAUGAAAAUAUUAUUGCACAAAUAAUAUAACAUGUAUAUGAAAAUAAAAUGGGAAAAAUCUCAGAAAGAAUUUAUGAAACUAAUAAAAUUUAGAAGAAAUGUGGAGAUAUAGUAAUCCUUAGAAGAAGAGAAUAUAGAAAAAUACAUGAGCUUUUAAUUAGAAAAAUAUAUGAGAUAGAUGCCAGUACUUUCUUUUAAGAAUGGGAGUUUCUAAAAUUACUUGCAUGCUACAUAGAACAAAGUUUCAAAGGACGUAGAUUGCUCUUUCCUGAUAUCAUGUACAUCAUCCUUUAAGCUGGUUUAACUUGAGAAAAAGAGGUAAGAAUUCUAUAAUAAAUUUGACAUAAAAAAUAACUCCAAGGACUAUUUGUACUUUCUCUUUAGAAAACUCUAAAGCUGAAGAUUAUUCUUUGACUAAGGUUAUGAAGUUUGGAGUAGAAGAGCAGAAAAAUGCAAUGUACCUGGGGUGCUACUGAUCAAGAAAGUGAAGGCAUGUUCCUGGCCUCCAGCAGGGCUGAGGGCCCUGUGACACACUCUGAGGCUCCCUGGCCAGGGAUGGAGCAGGGCUGGGAGCCACCCACAGGCAGUGUUUCCUCUGCCAGGUCACAGACACUGGUCCCUGCUCACGCGGGAUCUUACAGUGUCAGAAAGUGUAAUUCCAACUUCUUGUUCACAACAUUGCUUUCUAUUUCAGGGAACUGGACUGUGGGUUUGCCACUAAAAAGGCUGGAGACUCCUGCCCUAGAUCCUUCUUGCCAAUGAAACUUUGGCUCCAAUCAGUGAUGAUGAACUGGGGUUGACCAUUGCCUUUAAAAUCCAUUUUGCAGAGCUUUAAAGGGGAGGGAAGUGAGUUAAGUGAGAUGAUAUGAGUUCUGGUAGAUAAAGACGUAAAAACUACCAAAAAAAAUGAUAUGGAAGCUUAAGUGCAUAAAAAGAGAAACUGUUUAUGAAGAGGCACUAAAUAAACAAACGUAGAAACAUUCAGAAAGAAGAUGGGGUAUUUCAGACACUACUUGGUAGGACAAGCUGCCACCUGAUGUUUCACAUGAGGAUCCUGAGCACUGAGAAAUGCAGAGAAGAAAGACAGAUGACCCUGAGCACCAUGUUCUUCAACUAGGCGGAGUUAACCUGAAAAUGCCUCAGGAUGUUUAACCUCUGUAAUUUAUUUUAAAAUACUAUAUUUAUUUUAGUUGCUAUUCCAUUAGAUGUUCAAAUCAUUUUCACCUAUCCCAAACAUAUUGUGCAGUGACUCAUCAGACAUCUGUGGCAAGUAAAUAUACACAGUGUAUUUUUAGAGUAGCGAAUAUGUGUGUAUGCAUUUAUAGUAUGAGCAAAAUUAAACCUGAUCUGAAAAAAAGUGAAUUUUUCAGCCCUGACCACUACUGUGCCAUUUCAUCUUUAGAACCUACAUUUCCGUGGUAUAAUUUUCAGAUCAUUUCCCACCUUUAAAUGCCAGAAUUAAUGGGAAAUUGUCUUUUUUCUGUGUACUGCUUUGCUGGAGAGGCCCUUCUGCAAUGAACGUUGAAUGCUGUUAAGCCCUAUUUAUGGCUUUAAUAGCUUUGUAUUAAUGAAAAAAUCAGAUACCCUUUAUAUACCCACCUCAGGGGUUCAUGCAGGAGAUGUUCUAUUGAUGUGAAAGAGUCAAAUUGAUUUCUGCCAAAGAUGAGAAAGUAGUAGAAAGGCUCAAACUGCAUGUGGAUAAUGAAAUGGCUUGUUUUAUCACAAAUAUUCUCUGCACAUGUGUUCCACUUCUUUCGUCUAAUGGCUGACCCCUGCUUUUCCUAAAGCUCAAAUUUUGGUGUCUAAACUGUUAUGUGUGUCAACAGAAAGAGGCAAUGAAGAGGAUCUCAGAACAUUUUAGUGAGAAGAGAGCAAAAUGUAGAAAUAUCAUUUCUGCAUUUUGAUUUAUGUGUUCAAGGUUAUUUGGAUAAUUGGAAAGUUUGCUUUUCAGAUGAGUUAGACUUCCUGGAACAAUUAAUCAGGGUCUUAAUUACUGCAUCUGUAAAAAUGAGGUAAGAUGUGCGAGGCUAAGAACCUUCUAGCAUGGAACUGUAGUUUUUUUCCUCUUCCCUUUAAAGUAUCAGGAAUUUCCAAGCCAUCAACAUUUGCUGAAUCUGGCCAUGCAUAGUCUUCAAAAAUAGUGAAUGUUUCAUUUAUUUUCAAAAUACUUUCCAUUUCAGUAGGUUUCCGUGAAGUGAAAACAUUUACCAUAAUGGAUGAAUUUCAUCAGGGAGCUGCUUUAACAGCGUCCUAAAUGAAUAGAGUAAAAGCAUUGCAAAGAUACAGUCAAAAAGAAGUAAGCUUCUUUUUUAAAAAUGUGCUAAAUUUUAAAGCCUGGCCUUAUGCUGCAAAUUGGACAGUAUCCCAGGUAUUUUGUUAAGAGUGAAUACUGUAGAGAAGUCAGAGACAAAAGAUAGAAUCUGGAGUAGAGUCAGCUGGACUAGACCCAGCUAGACUAGAUACCGUGGUAAAAGCAAGACCACCUUGGCCGGCGGGAGGUGGGGGAUGAGGGGGUGGUGUGGAGGUGGAGGUGGAGUUUACAGAGAAACUGACACACAAGCUGGGAGUCAUGGUGCUGCCAAAGCGAAGCCAAUAUUGAUGAAAGGUGCCUGGGGCAAGACAGAGAAUGCAUGAGCCAGAAACUAGUGACUCAGAUUUAAACAUAAGAUCACAGAUGAAACAGAAGCCAACUCAAGUAAGAAAUAACAGGGAGAAAGUGAUAAAUGCCAGCAAGAGCAUGUGGGUGAAACUAAGUUAGAGACGUCUAUCCUGAUUCAUGAAGCCAGGGAGGAGAUCAAAAUUCAGGCAGCAAGUCAUGUGGCAGUUUGUUUUGAUUCAAAUCUAAGUAGUCAUCGCAAUCAAUGAUUAAAUUAGUCGUUCUCAUCAGUUUGUAUGUAUAGACACUUAAGAAUGCUGGGUACUCCAUAUACAGCUGUAAAAUGAAUAAGGAAGAGCUCUAUUAACUGAUGUGAAGUAAUUUUCUGGAUGUAUUUUUAAGUGCAAAAGGACAUCUAUAGUAUGCUGCUUUUCAUAAAGAAGAGUAAAUCAGAAAAUAUCAAUGUAUAUGCUCAUUUGUGCAAAAAAUAAUUGAGUUAAUAAAAUUCAGAAAUGAAUGGGAUGGGUUACCUACAAGGGUGGCAGGGAAGAGAGUGAGAAGAAUGGGGGACUGGGAGGAGGUUAGAAGAGGAGAAAGGGGGAAAGAGAAACUUUGCUGAGUAUACCUUUAUGUGUAGUUCUGCAUCUUAGAAUCAGAGAGAUAUUUCAUAAACAGAACCAAUAAAUAACUAAACUCAAACUGAAUAUGGGGGAAGGACCAAAAAUGGAAUACAAAAAUAACAAAUGAACCUAACUCUAUUAUCAACGAAUAACAGCCUCACUGAAGGGGGUCAGAGAAAAAUAGGCAUAAGUAGCUACAUAAAAAAAUAUUUUGACAAGAUAUUGUAACGCUAAAGAAAAAAACAACUGUAGACAAAUACAAUACUCCAGUUAGUAAAUUCGAUUUUCACUUGGGUAUAGAUUAGCAAUUCUGAAACUGUCUUAUGUGAAUGUAUUUUAUAGAACUAGAUUGUGGGUAGUAAGACUCAGGUUUCUCACAGCAUAUCAGAGAAAGGAGUUACAACAAAUAAGGAAAGGGGAAGGCUAGAAUGAACUCUCUGAUGUUGGAUUAGGACUAGAAAUGUCAGUUGGAACGCAUGGAUUUUAUUAUAAAUAUUGUGAAUAGAUAAGAAAUCUAUCUAGAUGUGUAUGUAUGUGGGUUACUAUACAUGCAUAUAUUUUCUAGCUGUAUUCACUGAGAAGGCAUACCAGCAAUGGCAUCCCAGUAGCAAUGAGAACACUGUGUGCCUAGAUCUUGAUUUCUAUAAGCAGUUCUCCAAGAGCAACAAAAACACUUGAAAAAAAUGCCUGGUUCUAGGGCUAGGGAUUUACUGGGGAAUUACGAGGUGUGUCUGGAAUAUCUUAGAGUGCUGGAAAGUAAGGAAGUGUUAAAACAAAAAAAGGAUAGGGAUCACAGAAGCCAAACAAAGAAGCCCCAAACAGCCAAAACUGGGAUAAUUUGAAGGAAAAAAACCUAAACAAUGAUAAGCAAUGGAUAAUAGCCCCU
rnacentral:lncRNA from 1 species